rnacentral:sRNA from 1 species
AUAUUGCAUACACCGGGGGGAUGAGAAGCCCCGACCGGGGUUCGACAACUGGCGACAGCCAGUUGGACAGACCGUGAACGCAGCGAGCGGGCUGCCCGCAGGGCGAGCAAAGCGAGUCAAUCCCCCCCUCACCGCCA